CUCGUGUCGUGAGAUGUUCGGUUAAGUCCGCUAACGAGCGCAACCCUCGCUGUGUGUUAUAUGUGUCACACGGGACUGCCGGUCUUAAGCCGGAGGAAGGUGGGAUGAUGGUCAAGUCAGCAUGGCCUUUAUAUCCCUGGGCUACACACACGCUACAAUGGCCAACACAAUAGGUUGCUAAGCCGCGAGGUGGCGCCAAUCCAUAAAGUUGGUCUCAGUUCAGAUUGUAGGCUGCAACCCGCCUGCAUGAAGAUGGAGUUGCUAGUAACCGCAGGUCAGCUAUACUGCGGUGAAUACGUUCCCGGGGCUU
rnacentral:rRNA from 1 species